UCCCUGGUGGUCCAGCGUUAAGACUCUGUGCUUCCACUGCAGGGGACACAGGUUCGAUCCCUGGUCAGGGAA
rnacentral:tRNA from 1 species